rnacentral:rRNA from 1 species
UCCGAAGGGGGCUAGCGUUGCUCGGAAUCACUGGGCGUAAAGGGUGCGUAGGCGGGGCUUUAAGUCAGGGGUGAAAUCCUGGAGCUCAACUCCAGAACUGCCUUUGAUACUGAAGAUCUUGAGUUCGGGAGAGGUGAGUGGAACUGCGAGUGUAGAGGUGAAAUUCGUAGAUAUUCGCAAGAACACCAGUGGCGAAGGCGGCUCACUGGCCCGAUACUGACGCUGAUGCACGAAAGCGUGGGGAGCAAACAGG